UUAGGAAUAUUCGUCAAUGGGGGAAACCCUGAACGAGCAAUGCCGCGUGAGUGAUGAAGGUCUUAUUGAUCGUAAAACUCUGUUGUAGAGGAAGAAACCUUAUCAUAGGUAAUGAUGAUAAGUUGACGGUACUCUACCAGAAAGCCCCGGCUAACUACGUGCCAGCAGCCGCGGUAAUACGUAGGGGGCGAGCGUUAUCCGGAUUUAUUGGGCGUAAAGCGUGUGUAGGCGGUUUAUUAAGUUUAAGAUUAAAGCCCGGGGCUUAACCCCGGUUCGUCUUAAAAACUGGUAGACUUGAGUAUAGUAGAGGCAAGUGGAAUUUCUAGUGUAGCGGUUAAAUGCGUAGAUAUUAGAAGGAACACCAGUGGCGAAGGCGGCUUGCUGGGCUAUUACUGACGCUGAGACACGAAAGCGUGGGGAGCAAAUAGG
rnacentral:rRNA from 1 species